GAUGCAACGCGAAGAACCUUACCAAGGCUUGACAUACACCGGACGACUGCAGAGAUGUGGUUUCCCUUUGUGGCUGGUGUACAGGUGGUGCAUGGUUGUCGUCAGCUCGUGUCGUGAGAUGUUGGGUUAAGUCCCGCAACGAGCGCAACCCUCGUUCCAUGUUGCCAGCAACACCUUUUAGGUGGUUGGGGACUCAUGGGAGACUGCCGGGGUCAACUCGGAGGAAGGUGGGGAUGACGUCAAAUCAUCAUGCCCCUUACGUCUUGGGCUUCACGCAUGCUACAAUGGCCGGUACAAAGGGCUGCGAUCCCGUGAGGGUGAGCGAAUCCCAGAAAGCCGGUCUCAGUUCGGAUUGGGGUCUGCAACUCGACCCCAUGAAGUCGGAGUCGCUAGUAAUCGCAGAUCAGC
rnacentral:rRNA from 1 species